AUUAAAAACUAAACAUUUUAAUACUUGAUUUCUAAGGGUAAUUAAACCUGCUUGACCAUAUCAGUCCAUUAUUUUGGUUUUUUUUAUUUGUGAAUGGCACCAUCAUCUUUACCUGUUCCCUGUUAGUAAACCCUACAUGAAACUGUUAUUGUACUUACGAGUUCAUCCUGUCAACAAACCACGCUUGCGACUGCUGUAGCUCCUGCGCUAGAAAAUCCUCCUUGAUUGGAGCAGACGUCUCCUGAGGACCCUUCCUGACUCCUCUGUCCGGUGGUCCCCUGAGGUCGAAGUGACUUGAUAAGUGUUUAUGUCCUCUUUUGGAUUUCUUCAAAGUUGCUUCCUCUUUCCUCUUCAGAGUUGCUUCCUUUUUCCUCUUCAGAGUUACUUCCUUUUUUCAGUUCAGGAUUGCUUCCUUU
rnacentral:lncRNA from 1 species